rnacentral:misc_RNA from 1 species
GCCACGGAGAGAAAGAGGACGAUUCCGACGGGUACCCAUAUAGGGCUGGAAACGAUGAUCAAAGGAGCAAAAAAUAUUAGGACAAGAACUGUGACUGUGACGGUGAUGCCUGUGAGGANNNGAACCGGAGAUGAGGAGGGUCAAGAAACCGAAGAGUUGGGUUGAGUUGGGAGCAUGAGCUUGCAGUUUACGUAGAAAGGUGGAGGUGUUGGUUNNNNNNNNNNNNCUGAAGGUCUUGAAGUUCUAUGGGGAGCAGUGCGGUCAGCCAUGAUAUGAACCUUGACGAGAGAUAGAGAGAGAGAGAGAGAGGGAAGUGCUAAAA